rnacentral:misc_RNA from 1 species
GGCAAAACUUUCCAUUUCUUUUAUAAAACAAAAUUGACAUUACAUUCCAAGUAUGUCUACAUGCCCUAUGAUUAAGCUAAUUCCAAACUGAAGUUGCUGCGGACACUAAUUUAUGCUACAAAGCAGUGAGGCAUACAGCAACUUCUUCAAAAGAAGAAACAGAACAAAAACAAUAUUUUGUAGAAAAGAAUGAUAAUACAAAU